GAGUUUGAUCAUGGCUCAGGACGAACGCUGGCGGCGUGCCUAACACAUGCAAGUCGAGCGAUGAAACCCUUCGGGGUGGAUUAGCGGCGGACGGGUGAGUAACACGUGGGUAACCUGCCUCAAAGAGGGGAAUAGCCUUCCGAAAGGAAGAUUAAUACCGCAUAAUAUGUUUUGAUCGCAUGAUCGAGACAUCAAAGGAGUAAUCCGCUUUGAGAUGGACCCGCGGCGCAUUAGCUAGUUGGUGAGGUAACGGCUCACCAAGGCGACGAUGCGUAGCCGACCUGAGAGGGUGAUCGGCCACAUUGGAACUGAGACACGGUCCAGACUCCUACGGGAGGCAGCAGUGGGGAAUAUUGCGCAAUGGGGGAAACCCUGACGCAGCAACGCCGCGUGAAUGAUGAAGGCCUUCGGGUUGUAAAGUUCUGUCUUCUGGGACGAUAAUGACGGUACCAGAGGAGGAAGCCACGGCUAACUACGUGCCAGCAGCCGCGGUAAUACGUAGGUGGCAAGCGUUGUCCGGAUUUACUGGGCGUAAAGGAUGCGUAGGCGGACAUUUAAGUCAGAUGUGAAAUACCCGAGCUUAACUUGGGUGCUGCAUUUGAAACUGGGUGUCUAGAGUGCAGGAGAGGUAAGUGGAAUUCCUAGUGUAGCG
rnacentral:rRNA from 1 species